GCCAGGUUUUGACCAAUGAUAAAUCAGUAAAUCUCCCUGCAAAGAGAGAUUGGGAUGUUUUCCCGUAAAUUUAAAGGUUCUAGCUGAGCUUGUGUUUAGAGUUCAACUGAUAGUGAUACGAGGACGGAUGACACUUUACUCCGACCUGGAGUAGUUCCAGUCCUGAACCUCAUCCCGUCUACUCCAGUAGUACAUGGAGCAUCCACUGGAUACGAUAUCACAGAGAUAGAUGAGAUCAGUUCUACAACCUUCAAUACAAAUAUCUACGCGGAGACCCCUACGCCAAGAAAACAUCGACGACGACGACGACGUUCUAAACACUAAUUAUUUCGGAGAAUUUAAUCUUGUCUAUCAUGUAUUUUUUCAUAAAUAAUUUCAUCUU